GGCUCUCACCUUUCUUGCCUACCACCAUGAGGGGGUUGAUUUUGACAGGGUCUCACUUGAUAGAGUACUUCAACAGGGGAAUGCACUCUAUGAAGGUAUCAAACAGCAGCUUCUGUUGGACAAAAGGUUCCAAAGCAACCACUUGACCAUAGAGGAGAUGCCAAAACAGGUUUUUACUGUUUCAAACACCUACGAUGUUCUCUUGGACAUGUCGGACUUGAGAGUUGGUUUCUUGAAUGUCGUCGAUGGAAGUCCUCGAAGCAGAAGAGGAAUGUGCCUUGCUGAACAACUGGAGAGCCUCUCUCAAGGUGUCAGCUGUGCUUUUCUCAUUGUCACUCCUGAGUGCAUUGCAGUGUUUCGUGACAGGUUCGGACACUACGGGUUGUUUGAUUCCCACUCAAGGUCUGCAAGAGGUUUGCCUCACCAUGAUGGAAAGGCGAUCAUGCUGACUUUCUCUAAUUUGAGUGACAUGGUUGAUCAUUUGCUUGUGCUUUUUAAAGACCGUGGUUCUUAUGGCAGCUAUGAGUUCAUGCCAGUUUCCUUUGUAAGUGACCACAGUGUCAGUGAGAUGCCUGGGCAGUCAGAGGAUGUGACCAUCAGGCAACCUACAACAGCAGUACCAGAAGUGAAAAUCUUUGAGGAAGCCUAUAACAGACAGCCAAAAAAUCUGGACUUGAGUCAGCGAGUCAACACAACAAAGUGCACAACAAAAACGGAGACGGAUUUUUCCAGACUGACCAAAGAGAGGCGAAGAAAGGCUAUGCGUAGAGAAACUGGGGGCAAAAAGCAAAAUGUACCACUAGGAGAUGACACAAGCAGCACUAAAAGAGUGCAACAUGAAAAGGAGAAAUAUGCCAGCAGUUUAAAGUUUCGGCUGACAAAAGUGCAGGCAAUGAAGAAUAAGUAUGCGAAAGAACGUCAUCACCGCAAACUAAAGAAGCAGUACAUCAAAAGAAGAUACAACAUGGAUCCUGAUUUUCAGAGAAAACAAAAACAGUACCUGAAGGAGAGGUGCAGCAGCAAUCCUGAUUUAAGAAGCAAACGGAAAAUUCAAAUGCAAAAGUACUUGAGGGACAGGUACAGCACCGAUUCGAAUUUCAAAUGCAAACAAAAGGACUACAUGAAGGACAGGUACCGUGCUGAUCUGGAUUUCAAAUGCAAACAAAAGGACUACAUGAAGGACUACAUCAAGGACAGGUACCGUGCUGAUCUGGAUUUCAAAUGCAAACAAAAGGACUACGUCAAGGACAGGUACAGCACUGAUCUGGAUUUUCAGAGUCAACAGAAAAAGUAUGUGAGAGAAAAAUAUCGCAACAACCCAGACUUCAGACUGCAUCACCUACAACACUGCAGUCGCAACAGAAGGGACAGACUGGCUAAAAAUGCUGCACUUCGUAUUCGCUACAAGUUGCAGUGUGCACUCAGGAUCAAGAGGAAAUACAUGGACAUCGUAAACCACCGCCAGGAAACUCCACACCCUGUGGUCAACCCUGUGAUGGAAGAAGCCAUAUCUACAUUCCGGGAAAGGAUUCGACAUGGGCCCACACAUGUCUGCACAGUGUGUCACAGAGCUCUGUUCCCCAAUCAGGUAAGGCAUUGCAACAGAGCCAAAUAUGUCAAAAACAUUUGCGUGGUGGCUGCUUGCUUGACAGGUAAGUAUGUCCACGUAUGUGACACUGAAUGCUCAGCCCCAUGCACCGUUCCACAAGACAGGAUGCGUGAAUGGAUCUGCCACACCUGUCACAGCCACUUGUCUAGAGGAAGAAUGCCGUCCAUGGCAGCUGCGAACAACCUGGAGCUUGCACCCAUUCCCCCGGAGCUCGAAGACCUGAAUGUGCUGGAGAGACAAUUGAUUGCAAAGAUUUUACCGUUUGCGAAGAUAGUUGCCUUGCCCAAAGGACGUCAAAGAGCAGUACACGGAGCAGUUGUGUGUGUACCAUCAGAGCUGGAAGCCACAGUCAAUGCUCUUCCGAGGCCGAGCGCCGAAGCCCAGCUGUUACAAGUAAAGUUGAAGCGCAACAUCAAAUACAAGGGCUAUCAGCACUUCUUCACAGUCAACAUGAAGAAUGUGCUAGCAGGGCUAAGGAUACUGAAAGAGACUCACUCAGAAUACACCAACAUUGAGAUAGAUGACUGCGCUGAAUUUGAAAGUCUCGAAGACCUGCCAGUUGACGAAGAGGAACCACAGGAAGCCCCAGAUGCUGCACAGCCCGAGGAGCAGAAGAGCAGAAGAGGAGAAGAAGACAUGGAACCCGUUGCAGGCACAUCUCGUGAAAAGCAGCCCAAGGAUGUGGACAAGGAUAAGGAAAAGGAGGACCUCAGGCCUGGUCUGGCCUUGGACACGUGCAUGCAGCCUCCUGACAUAGCGCAGGAGGUUCUGUCAUAUGGGGAUGGCAUAUUUAGCAUUGCUCCUGCCCAAGGAAACAAACCCGUCGGUUUCUUUGCCAUUCCGAAGCUUGAAGCCAUGGCCUUUCCUGUUCAGUUCCCAACUGGAGAGAACACCUUGGAUGAGCGCAGAAGAAUCCUUCUGUCCCCAAGCGCUUACUUCAACACAAGGCUUCUCUGUGUGGAUAUCCGGUUUGCAAGGGACCAGAGUUACCUGUUUUUUUCACAAUUUGUAACGGAAACCCACAUGGCUAGGAACAGCAUGUCCAUUCAAACGCGCAAGGGGAAAAAAUUCACCAAAGAUGGGAGGAAAAUUUCUAACAAGAUGCUUCAGGACAAAGACGAGCUGGAACAACUAAUCCAAACGAAGGAGGCGACCCGUUUCAUGCAACCCCUCAGAGGCACUCCAGCGUACUGGGAGAAAACGCUACGAGAUCUUCACGCCAUGGUCAGACAGUUGGGCAAGCCGACGUUUUUCAUCACCUUUUCCGCCGCGGAAAUGAGAUGGCCUGAAGUCAUUAACAUAAUCAAAGCUCAACAAGGAGAGGAAGGGGACUUCUCACAGCUGGACUGGAAUGAGAAAUGCGAGAUUCUCCACAGCAAUCCUGUAACUGUGAUGCGCCUGUUUGAGAAGCGAGUGGACGCGCUCAUGACAGAUCUGCUCCUGUCACCUGCACAACCCAUCGGUCCAGUGGAAGAUUACUUUUAUCGGGUGGAGUUUCAAGCCAGAGGAAGUCCACAUAUUCAUAUGCUAGUUUGGAUAAAAGAUGCCCCCGAGAUAGAGGAUCCUGAGUGCUGCCCAGAAGUCGUCAACUUCAUCGACCGUUACAUAUGCUGCCAGAUGCCUGAUGAGGAAUCGGACCCAGAGCUCCACAAAAUAGUGUCUGAGGUUCAAGUUCACAGCCGCAACCACUCCAAAACAUGCAGGAAAGGUAAUGUAUCAUGCCGAUUUGGUUUUCCAAAACUGCCCAUGGAAAAAACGAUAAUCGCCUGUGCACCCUGGGAGGCUGAUGAUGAUGAUGAUGAUGAUGAGAAGAAAGAUGAUGCCAAGAAAAAAGACCAAGACUGUGGAAAAAACGAUGUUGAUGGACAGAAAAAAUGUGGGGAAAAAUCCAAGGAUUCCAGGAAGAGUCAGAAGAAGUCACAGAAGAAAUUCAUAGCAAAGCAGCAACGGAUCGCCAAGGAAAAGCUGAAACCGGUGAGAGACCUUCUCAUGGACCCAAAUGCCUCUUUUAAGGACCUGACGGAAUUGUUGGAGAAAUGUAACAUGCUCCAUGAAGAAUACAGAUACAACGUUGGAUGCCUCACCACUGGAAUGGUGGUCGUCAACAAGCGUGACCCCAAGGACUGCUGGGUCAAUGGAUACAACCCCGAUCUGCUGCGAGCGUGGAACGCCAACAUGGACAUCCAGUACGUUAUUGACGAUUUCAGUUGCAUCAUGUACAUGAUGUCAUAUGUCUCCAAGCCGGAGCAUGAGAUGACAGAGUUCCUUAACUCUGUCGUUCAGGAAGUACGGAAAUCGGACGUCAACAAACAGGAUGAGAUGAACCAGAUUAUGCAGGCGUACGCAAAACAUCGAGAGGUCAGCGCUCAGGAGUCUGUGGCAAGGGUAUGCAGCCUACCACUGAAAAAGUGCUCACGUUCGGUUAUUUUCAUACAGACUGAUGAGGACGGUAUGAGAAUGAGUCACCCGAUGAGCAGGCUGCAGAACAUGGCUGCAGACGAAGAGGACGUAUGGAUGUCAGGAUUGCCGGAGAAAUACGCGAUGAGGCCUGAUGCACGCCAGUUUGAGUACAUGUGUCUGGCUGAAUUUGCGUCGGAGUACAGGGUCCUCUACGGCCGGCAACGUGAAUCAGCUAAUGCCAUUCCCCUCCAGAAGGACCACGGAUUUAUCCAGAAGAGGACAUCGGGAAAACCUGCCAUCAUCCGAUUUACUCGUUUCUCAGAGAAGAAACAUCCCGAAAAGUUUUACAGACGGCUCCUAAAACUGUACUGCCCACACAGAGAAGAUGCCGAUCUGAAGACGGAACGCCACCCGACCUACGAAGCAUAUUAUAAAAGUGGCUGUCUGGGGCAAUUGCCAGUGAAAGGGUACGUCGACUUUAACAGGAAGCGCUAUGAAGGAGAAGGGAAGAAAAUCGACAAAGCCAUCGAACGGCUUCAAAAGGAGGGACCCGUCAUCAACGCGUGGAACAGUUUUGCACCGGAGGUUGAAUUGGAUCGUUUGGAGUGUGUCGCCCAGCGAGAAGCCAUAAGCCGUGACGAGGAGGAACAAGAGCAGCUUCCAGAUUUUCAACUCCAAGGUGGGAGCAGUGGAGCCAUGCCAGGAAUCCAGGCGCCGGAAUUGAGCCCCGACUUCGUGAGGAACAUGUUUCGAAGCCUCAACGAGACGCAAUCGUCUGCCUUCUACGCCAUCCGCGAAUGGUGUUGGAAACGCGUCUGGGGUAAGUAUCCUGAACCAUUUUUUUACUUCAUCUCUGGGGGAGCUGGUUGUGGCAAGUCCCAUCUGAUCAAGUGUGCGUAUCAAGAGGCCACCAAGAUUCUGCGCCAACUUCCCAGGUUCCGCAAUGAAGGCGACAUGUCUCAGCCUUCAGUGCUGUUGGCAGCGUUUACUGGCACCGCCGCUUUUAACAUCUCUGGCAAAACACUGCACUCACUGUUGAAGCUGCCGAGAAGUCUGAAACCUCCGUAUCAAGGACUCGGAAACACACUGGAUGACGUGAGGGCAGCACUGUCCAAUGCGGAGAUCUUGAUCAUCGACGAAAUAUCCAUGGUAUCUAAGGAGCUCUUUUCUUAUGUCCACUGGAGAUUCCAGCAAAUCAAAGGAAACAGGAGACCAUUUGGAGGGAUGUCUGUCCUUGCAGUUGGAGACUUCUAUCAAUUGCCGCCCCUUGGUAGAGCCAAACCACUAUGCGUCUUGGAGGAUGAUGUGCUCAACCUCUGGCAAGAUUUCAAGUUGGUCAACCUGACGGAGAUAAUGCGGCAGAAAGACGAUCGCACUUUUGCAGAGCUCUUGAACAGGAUUAGAACCAGGAAUAAGAAGGAUCCUCUCAGCGCAGAUGAUGAAGCUCUGCUCGCACAGGCCGUCGUGGAAGUUGGAGAUUGUCCGUCCGACGCCCUUCAUAUCUUUGCCACCAACAAAGAGGUCGACGAGCACAACGUUGCAACUUUAACCGCCUUAAAGUUACAAGUUGUAAACAUUCCAGCACAGGACUACACAAAAGAUCUGCGAACCGGAGAAAUGGAAUUGGCGACUGGUCUCAUGAAAGGCAAUAAAAGGGAUUUACCUGACAACCUGCAAGCAGCACAAGGAGCACGAGUCAUGGUGAUCAGGAAUCUCGAUAUUGAGGACGGGAUGGUAAACGGCACUUUUGGAACAAUCGGCAAUAUUGUCACCACCACCGAACACGGACAGACCGUGGUCAAGGUCAUCGGACUCGAAUUGGAUAAUCACAAGGCAGGCCAGAAAUUCCGCAAGAAGAUUCAAGGGGCAGAGGAUAACUUGGUGUACGUGGAAAGGUUCGAGGAAAGCAUGAGCAGAAGAGGGGUGGUUCGACGGCAGUUUCCAAUGAAGCUGGCCUUCGGCUGUACAGCUCAUAAAGUGCAAGGAAUGACUGUGGAUUCUGCUGUGGUGUCCUUAAAGCGCAUUUUUGAACCCGGAAUGGCCUAUGUCGCCCUGAGCAGGACGACCUCACUUCAAGGACUAAGGAUCAUAAACUAUGAAGAACAGAAGAUCUAUGCCGACCCUAAAAUCACCACAGCAAUGGAGACUAUGAGUCACGCCUCGUUCGAGAGUGCAAGACCGCUGUUGCACUAUGUCAAAACCGCAGACCACACCGGUCCAACUUUAAAAAUAGUCCAUCAUAAUUGUCAGGGACUUCCGUCGCACAUGGAUGACAUCAGGACCCACCAUGAAUUCAGACUUGCCGAUGUCCUGUGCAUCACUGAAUCCCAUCUGUCGGGAUCAUUUGUUUCUCCAGACUUCCAGCUGGAGGGAUAUGAGAUGUUUGCGCGCAACAGAAAUGUCUCAUAUUCAAACAGAGCGGAUAUGGCUAUGAAAGAUGGAGGUGGAGUUGCGGUGUAUUACAGGAACAGUCUGCAAGCAGAGUCCAGGAGGUACUUUCAAAAUGUGCCCGACCUUGAAUUCGCCGUCGUCAAGGUUGAGGGCCCUGUCAGAGCAUUGAUAGCCACUGUGUACAGACCACCAAAUAUCCAUCUUGACAUGUUUCUUCAAAACAUGCAAAGCCUCUUGGACUCUUUAGAGAUGAUGGGUUGCCAGCCUGUAGUGGUUUGUGGAGACUUUAAUGAAGACUUGCUUUCCAAAGGGAAGAAAGCCAUACAGGAGUUGUUUCUGUCCAGAGGCUAUAGCCAGCUUGUUUCCACUGCAACGACCGAAAAGCAGACACUGAUUGAUCAUAUUUACAUAUCGCAACCAGAAUGUUGCCUUCAAUCAGGUGUGCUGCAAUCGUAUUACAGUUAUCAUGAUCCAGUGUACUGCGUUUUGACUUCACCUUAAGCGGUAGGUAUGUUGUUGCAUUCGGAAAAGGUGGCCAGCCCAGAUGAAAAGGUAGGUAUAUGGUAAGUAUUUUCAUUGAAAUGUCGUCCUUGAUAUCUGGAUGCCUAUGGUGAAUAUGGCCUAGGGUCCAACUCAUGGUGGUUUUGGUUGAGAAAGGUUUCCUCUUGUGGUCUUUAUUGUGUAAAAGAGUCCUGGUAGGUAUGUUGUUGCAUUCUGAAAAGGUGACCAGCCCAGAUGAAAAGGUAGGUAUACGGUAGGUAUAUGGUAAGUAUUUUCAUUGAAAUGUCGUCCUUGGUAUCUGGAUGCCUAUGGUGAAUAUGGCCUGGGGUCCAACUCAUGGUGGUUUUGCUUGAGAAAGGUUUCUUCUUGUGGUCUUUAUUGUGUAAAAGAGUCCUUGUAGGUAUGUUGUUGCAAUCGGAAAAGGUGACCAGCCCAGAUGAAAAGGUAGGUAUACGGUAGGUAUAUGGUAAGUAUUUUCAUUGAAAUGUCGUCCUUGGUAUCUGGAUGCCUAUGGUGAAUAUGGCCUGGGGUCCAACUCAUGGUGGUUUUGGUUGAGAAAGAUUUUACUCUUGUGGUCUUUAUUGUGUAAAAGAGUCCUGGUAGGUAUGUUGUUGCUCUGGAAAAGGUGACCAGCCUAGAUGAAAAGGAAGGUAUACGGUAGGUAUAUGGUAAGUAUUUUCAUUGGAAUGUCGUCCUUGGUAUCUGGAUGCCAAUGGUGAAUAUGGCCUGGGGUCCAACUCAUGGUGGUUUUGGUUGAGAAAGGUUUCCUCUUGUGGUCUUUAUUGUGUAAAAUAGUCCUUGUAGGUAUGUUGUUGCAUUCUGAAAAGGUGACCAGCCCAGAUGAAAAGGUAGGUAUACAGUAGGUAUAUGGUAAGUAUUUUCAUCUCCCGAGCACCCACUCUCUGUUAUCGGUCUGUGUGUAUAUCUGUCAUCUGUUUUUGUCUGUGUGUGUGUGUGUGAGAGCGAGUGCGUCUGUCUGGGUGUGUGUGAGUGAGUGUGUCUCUGAUUGUGUGUCUGUGUGAGAGUGUGUCUGUCUGUGUGUGAGUGACUGUUUCUGUCUGUGAUUGUGUGUCUGAGUGAGAGUGAGUCUGUGUCUGUCUGUCUGUGUGUGUGUGUGUGUGUGUGUGUGAGAGAGCGAGUGCGUCUGUCUGGGUGUGUGUGUGAGUGAGUGUGUCUGUGAUUGUGUGUCUGUGUGAGAGUAUGUGUGUCUGUCUGUGUGUGUGAGUGACUGUUUCUGUCUGUGUGUCUGUCUGUGUGUGAGUGACUGUUUCUGUCUGUGAUUGUGUGUCUGAGUGAGAGUGAGUCUGUGUCUGUCUGUCUGUCUGAGUGUGUGUGUGUGUGUGUGUGUGUGUGUGAGAGCGAGUGCGUCUGUCUGGGUGUGUGUGUGUGAGUGUGUCUGUGAUUGUGUGUCUGUGUGAGAGUAUGUGUGUCUGUCUGUGUGUGUGAGUGAGUGACUGUUUCUGUCUGUGUGUCUGUCUGUGUGUGAGUGACAGUUUCUGUCUGUGAUUGUGUGUCUGAGUGAGAGUGAGUCUGUGUCUGUCUGUCUGAGUGUGUGUGUGUGUGUGUGUGUGUGUGUGUGUGUGAGAGCAAGUGUGUGUGAGAGUGUCUGUCUGUGAUU